rnacentral:lncRNA from 1 species
AGAGAAUGUCUUCAUGCUAUAAGUUGUUCAUGAUAGCUGAUAGCGAAUAGGAACAACAGUAAUAAAUGAAGUCAGAAUAAGGAUUAAAAAUAAAAAGAGGUCAGAUGGAUCUUACAUUUGACCUUGUCUAAUUAUUUUUUCUUUCUGAGUUCAUAUCUUCUGCGUGCACGUAUAAGGAUAAUAAAGGGAAAUUUGCAGGAGGCUGCCUACUUUUCUUUCUGGCUGGAGGCAAGCUUGGCCGCAGAACAGAGAAUGGGAAGUAGGUUGGUAAAUGCUGAUUGCAGCACUAGCUGGGGAGUUCUUCUGUUGGCUGGAGGCAGGAAGUUCCUCAGCCCACAGCUGCUGGAUGACAGCAAUGCUCCUUUGUUUCCAGCUGAGGAAUUUGCUGGUUGUACCACAGGCAGAAUUUCUCAGAUGAAAGUUGCAGCUUUUGUGGGUGGAGAGGAAUGUUUCAAAGGGCUAAAUUGAGUCUUCUUCUGGCUUGUGACUCUGAAUGGAACGAGGAGAAUUUCUCACUUCAAAGCAUCGCACAAUUGACCUGCAGAAUGAAAUGACCGUGGCUGUUAGCAGUUGCAGUGCUCCUUUACACCUGGUGACCCCUGUUUCCAUGUGCCCAGCUCCCAGAAGGGUUCCCCUUGGUGAAGAGUUUUUAGGGAUGGUAUCGUCACCCCAAGCAGCGGGACUGGGAGUUCUGCCUGCCUGUUCUGCUUGUCAUCUUCUACCAGAGGAGAAUCUGGCUCCACGCUCAUUUAUUUUGAUGCGGAAUUUGAAGCUCCUUAGGAAACAUAUCAUUCUACAUUUGACUUUCCUUUUUUAAGUUUUGCAAACUGUGUUUUUACAUGCAUUUGCAUGACAUUUUUAGUUGAGUUUAGAUUUUAAGGGGAAACUUUCAAGGCAACUUACUAUUUUGUGAGUCAAAAAUGAGUUUGAAACUAGUUGCAGUUGGAGUAGUUGAGAUCACAUGGUAUUCUUUAAGUCAAAGAUAGCUUCAUUUAUUCAAGAAAUGUUUUGAUGUGGUUUCUUGAGCGGAACAGUGACUUGUUUUGAACUGUAUAGAAGAGACCCAGUGUCAAAAUGGC